rnacentral:rRNA from 1 species
UACAGAGGUGGCAAGCGUUGUUCGGAAUUACUGGGCGUCAAGGGCGCGUAGGCGGCCUUCUAAGUCGAACGUGAAAUCCCCAGGCUUAACCUGGGAACUGCAUCCGAUACUGGAUGGCUUGAAUCCGGGAGAGGGAUGCAGAAUUCCAGGUGUAGCGGUGAAAUGCGUAGAUAUCUGGAGGAAUACCGGUGGCGAAGGCGGCAUCCUGGACCAACACUGACGCUGAGGCGCGAAAGCUAGGGGAGCAAACGGG